CCUUUGCCCUUACCUCAGCUGUUGCCCGCUCUUCCAGCGUGCGGGCUCGCGGCGUGGCGUGUCAGGCAGGGGUUUGCCGUGGUAGCAGAGCGUGGGAGACCGUCGGCGGUGUCGGGAAGCUUCUCUCUGCGGGUUCCAGGCAUUAGGAUGUGGAUACCAUGAAGGGAUAGCAUUCUACCUGCCACAGAUAAUUACCAGAAACACUAAGUGGAGAACAGCAUUUCUAAAUACCCGUUUAAAAGAAGAAGAUGAAAGAAAAGAAAGAAAGAAAAAAAACCCCACAGUGUUCUGUUUAAAGAGAG